rnacentral:tRNA from 1 species
GGGCGAGUGGCGGAAUUGGCAGACGCGCUGGAUUUAGGUUCCAGUGUCGCAAGACGUGUGGGUUCGAGUCCCACCUCGCCCACCA